GCUGAUCUAGUUUAAGUAAAAAUGUCCCUUUGUGGAAGUGAGGAUAACAGUUAUUGUUGAUUGGUU
rnacentral:tRNA from 1 species